rnacentral:lncRNA from 1 species
GUACUAGAAGAAGGUGAGGAAUCCGCAUCUGCUCCUGCUCGACCACGUCCAGAUCGAGGGACACUUGCUUCUGCUCGCUACGGACGCUGCUGCUCUGAUCUGACCAUAGUGCCGGCGCUCCUCCUCCUCAAGGUCAAGGUGGGGACCCAUCUUUGGUGCAAUUUGCUCUUCCCCUUCUCACUGCUCUUCCCCUUCUCACAGAUGGCCAUGAGCUUGGUUUCUUCCUCAUGCAGGCAGUCUGGGUAGGCUCCCCGUCGGUGUCGGCUUCCCCUGCCUGCCACUCCUCUCCUCUGAUGGAGUUGACCUUUGCUGGAGCGGACAAGUUUGGAUGCCCGUGCGCCUUUGGUGGUGGGAUAGGUAACCCCCCCUCAUCCCCAUGCUCUCUCUCUUUCUGUAAUGUAUCCAUGGCCAUCUGUACGCAUUUCAAGCAGGGGGCAAGCAGCUAGCAAAAUACUGAAUACAAAGCUCCUUGUUGUGUUUUACGAAAGGAAUUGGGUGUACUUGAAUUGUGAAGGAAGAAAGGGCCAUUGGACUGUAUGGGAAGAAUGGGAUGAUGUCA